rnacentral:rRNA from 1 species
UGCCUACGGGGGGCAGCAGUGAGGAAUAUUGGUCAAUGGGCGAGAGCCUGAACCAGCCAAGUCGCGUGAGGGAAGACGGUCCUAUGGAUUGUAAACCUCUUUUGCCGGGGAGCAAAAAGCGGUACGUGUACCGCAUCGAGAGUACCCGAAGAAAAAGCAUCGGCUAACUCCGUGCCAGCAGCCGCGGUAAUACGGAGGAUGCGAGCGUUAUCCGGAUUUAUUGGGUUUAAAGGGUGCGUAGGCGGGACGGUAAGUCAGCGGUAAAAAUGCGGAGCUCAACUCCGUCGAGCCGUUGAAACUGCCGU